AGCAUGCACAAAAACCUGGGUUGGCACAUGCCUGUGACCCUGGGACUUGGGGGUAAACCAGAAAAGUCAGAAGUUCAAGAUUACCCUCAUCCUUGACUGUGUAAAAAAAACCUAGAGGCCAGAAUGGGAUAUACCCAAGUGUGGUGUUACAAUUUCAUAGGUGUAACUGAUUCCGAUGAUAAUGAAAGAGAUGCCCGGUAAGGUAUUAUUUAAUAUAUUUGACCUAAAUUAUAAAGUGCCCUGAGCUCCUAAUUCCUCAAGCAAUGAUAAAUCGGUAACCAUUGGUCUGAAAUUGUAUGUGGUUGGAGUCUCAAAGGCACAGAGAAGAACACGGUCCUGAGGAACUCUGAGCGCCAUCAAAGGACGUGUAUGAGUGACCUGUGUCAUGUUUCAGUGGUCAUUAUAGUAGGGCCUCUUCCAGCGUUCUCAUUGUGGCAAAAGUUAAAAUCGAUUUUAGUAUGAGAGUCUAGUAUCUCUAAUCACUGGGUAUAGUUACUUUGUUUAUAGCGUCAGAUUCCCUGAGAAAGUCUUGAACAUUAAUUAACUUUUUGUUUGCUUUAGAAUUUUAAUAAAUGUUAAGAGCUCGACAGGUAGCAGGUGCCAAUCACGUGGGUGGUGGCGGCAGGGAGACCAGAAAUUCAAGACCAGCUUUGGUCUUGAAUACAAGUAGUUUUGAGGGAAGGCUGGGGUGUAUAAAGACCUGCCUUUAAGGACAAAUUAAAAGGAGGGCUCUGUAACACUGCACUUGGUGUGUCACUGAAGUAAAGGCUGUUUGGGGUAAGGAGUUUGAAAUUCUUCCAUGCAUUUAAAAGGGAGCAUCGGAUCAGUGUGUCUGGUAGCUUGGAAGCUUACCAUAUGUCGCUGAAGACGUUUAAUGGAUUAUAUUUAAGAAGAAAGCAAUUGCCUAUCACACAGUUAAAUAAAUCUCCAUUGCGGAUCAAUGUUGCUGCGCUGAGUUCCACAUUGAUUGAACUUAGUCGUUCUCAGAAACAAAAACCUAGAUUAUGAGAAAGCUUUCAUCCCCACAGUCCCCAGGUUUUAUGCUGGGGUUGGCUGUGACUUUGUCUGCCAACACAAAUAUUCACGUCAAACAUGUGGGAACUAGAACUUCUUUAUGUUUUAAUGUGGUAUUUUAAUGAAAUGCUAGAAUUGCCAUGAACAGUUUCGAAUUUAAAUACAGGUGAAUGAAAGGAAGGAGACUUGGUCUUGGAGUCAAGGGCACUAAGCAAGGGCUGCUUUGGAAGUCAUAUGCUUAGCAAGGGUUCUCAAGCCACUGAGCUGGCCCUGGAUACCGACAGGUCACAGACUGAGUUGUGGAUGUCUUAGAGCCCGGUGGGUUUACCUGAGUAGCCUCUGCAGGACUGUGUCAAGACCAAGUUCCCGUACCAUUCAUUUUCUCUGAGCUCCUAUGUGCUGAUUACUCCCUUCUUAAGUGCGGAGAUACGGCCCUGUGAGCUGACGCAGCUGAGGAUGCAAAUGAGAUACUUUGUGCAGUCAUGCCACGUGAGCGGGUUACUGUGGUCUGAUGGCCUUCGCAUGCUGGCCUAGUGGUGCAGGCCUAUGACUGCACUCAGGAGGUUGAGGCAGGAGGACCUUAAGUUCAAGGACAGCCUUGAUGACUUAAUACGACCUGUUGCAAAAUAAUAAAAAGGAGGGAGGGAGCAAGGGAGCGAGGGAGCGAGGGAGCGAGGGAGCGAGGGAGCGAGGGAGCGAGGGAGAGGGAGAGGGAGAGGGAGAGAGAGAGAGAGAGAGAGAGAGAGAGAGAGAGAGAGAGAGAGAGAGAGAGAGAAGAGCUAGGGAUACGGUUCUAGAGUACUUGCUUAGCAUGUAUGAAGAUUGUCUUGUCUCCAAUCCUGGAGGGAGAGUAAGAAAAUGAGGAAGAGGAAGAAGAAGAGGAAGAGGAGAAAGAGGAGGAGGAGGGGGAAGAAGAGGAAGAGAAGGAGGUAAAGAUCUUCACGAAAUCUUGGUAAUGUAUGUUUGACAAUCUGUUGUCUUAUAAUUUUCUCAGAUAUUUUAUUCUGAAUCCUUUCUGAUUUCCUUACUGCUUACAGUGGUCAGCACCACACAGGCAUACACACACACACACACACACACACACACACACACACACACACACAGAGAGAGAGAGAGAGAGAGAGAGAGAGAGAGAGAGAGAAUUUUUUAGAUCAAAACUCAGGGAAGCAUUACUUUCUGUCUCUCAUUAAUGAUUUUAAUGUUUUGAUUUAAACACAUGUCCAUGUCCAGGGAUUGGGGACAUAAGUUCAGUGGCUUAACCCUGGAUGUGAUUUCCUAGUACUGCAGAAAAAUAAAACAAAAAAAGAAAAAGGAAAAGAAACCCAUAUGCAUAGCAUAUCUACCUUUUUAUUACAGAAUUAUAGAAUUACUUAUAAUUAUAUAAAUUCUUGAAAAGAGGAAAUAAUAAAUGCUCGCAAUCCCAUGAGUACAAUGACAGGACUGUACACUGGUUAUCUUGUAUAGACAUAAGGGUUUCUGAGGUAGCUUGGGGAAGAAGGACCCUGGUCUUGGAGUUGUUAGCGCCUCUCUAGGCAGUCCUGCAAAGGAGGUUCUUCUAUGUACACUUAUACACAGGCAUAUACAUCUCCCACCGUGGCUGCAUAUCUUAAGCUACAAUCUUGGACAAAUAUGAAUUUUCUUUGUGUGUGUGUGUGUGUCUUUUAUACCUGAAUCUUGAGGAUCCAGGGCUUUGAGAGCUUAGCAUGGUGCUCAGCGCAUCCUUAGUGUUGACAAGUAAGUGCCACUCAUGCUCCCACGCCAUUGUGACAGAAUAGUUGGUGUUCUUUUCCCAGAGUUCAUGUCAUUUCUUUAUGGCUGUCUAGAAGUGAUUUCUCAGUGCUCCUCCAGCUCAUGAUACGGGGUGCCCGAUGCCUUGCCAGCUGUCCCUCUGCAGAGCCCUUAGGACUACGUCAGAAUCUCACGCUCCUUCUCAGCACAGCUUCCCCUUAUGGUCUAGGGAUCUAACUUACUCAGUGGCUACAAGGUAUGACCUCAUUCAUUGUCAACUUCUGGUGUUGAAUUUCCAUUUUUACUUGUGGAUUCCGCUUGCCAGCACCUUGUAUUUAUUUCUCUCUUAGGUCUAACACCCAACUAACAUUUCCCAGUUGCAUUACCUAGUUUCUCUAGUGAAGAUACUGUUUUACGGUUUAUCACACAGGCAAUAGACACUUCUGUGGAUUGCCCUCUUAUUUUGAAGUUCUUAAAACACAAUGUGCACCGUCUUCUCAUCCUCUUUGUUAGAUCAGGCAGUUGUGCCUCGAAAGUUCUUGUGGCGGGUCUCCCAAUCCUGUGAACUCAUCUGUCUUUUUAUGGAAUCUGUUCACCACACAGAGUUAGGUAUAAAACACAGAGACCCUUCAUGGACCACAAGAACAUGUUCCUUCAUUUAAACAAAUGAAAUAGUUAAGAAUGGAGCUAACAGACUGCUUUUAAUCACAGGUUAUGUCACCUUUCUCUUCAUGGUUGGCUUCUUCUAGACAGUCUCUGUCCUUCCUUGCAGGAUGGAUGGUCCUAGGGAACUAGUGAUUUGUCAGGAGUAUGGUCUACUCAUCCCAAGGUUUCAGCCAAGUUAUUAGGAGAGCCCCUCCUCUCACUUCCUGUUCCCUUUACUAAGCUUUUGUUUCCAAGGAGACACUAGGUCUUGGUAAGAUUUAGGGAUUAAGGACAUGGGGGCUUCAUGUGGAUGACUAUGCUGGAAAAUCUACCCUCUCUUCCCAAAUUUCCUUCCUGACAGAGGCAUUUCCAUAUUGCAUGCGAAGUAAGUAGCCUUGCCUGGGCAUGGCAAAGUGGUCUGUGUGAUGGACGAUGGACGAGAGAACCCUGCAACUGAGGAAGCAAGGAGGCCACCCUGCCUGGUUCUUAGCAUGGAAAUCACACUUGAUUUUCUUCCUGGAGGAAGUGUCUUGAGAAAAUAAAAAAAGGGCCCCACCCCUGGGCAGAAGCGAAGGGGGUAAAAGCGAGCUCUGGAUCUUUCAGAUGCAUGGCCGUGAACCUACACGGGCCACCUGUAAGAGGACACACACUCUGAUGACCAAGAGGAAGAGCAGGAGUGUGGCGUCGUUGAGGCAAUGGUGAUGGCACACAAAGACAUUGUGUUGGCUUCUGAGUCUAGAUCUAUAAAUAUAUUUAUUAUAAUAUAACAACUUAACAAUAAACAUAUACUAUGUACAAUACCA